GACGAGCCACACGAACGUUAUUCGGAAUUACUGGGCUUAAAGGGUGCGUAGGCGGCCGGGUAAGUCUGAUGUGAAAUCCCGCAGCUUAACUGCGGAACUGCAUCGGAUACUCUCCGGCUAGAGGAAUGGAGGGGAGACUGGAAUUCUCGGUGUAGCAGUGAAAUGCGUAGAUAUCGAGAGGAACACCAGUGGCGAAGGCGAGUUUCUGGACAUUUCCUAACGCUGAGGCACGAAAGCUAGGGGAGCAAACGGG
rnacentral:rRNA from 1 species